rnacentral:rRNA from 1 species
CAAGUCGAACGCCGUAGCAAUACGGAGUGGCAGACGGGUGAGUAACACGUGGGAACGUGCCUUUUGGUUCGGAACAACNCAGGGAAACUUGUGCUAAUACCGGAUAAGCCCUUACGGGGAAAGAUUUAUCGCCAGAAGAUCGGCCCGCGUCUGAUUAGCUAGUUGGUGGGGUAAUGGCCCACCAAGGCUACGAUCAGUAGCUGGUCUGAGAGGAUGAUCAGCCACACUGGGACUGAGACACGGCCCAGACCCCUACGGGAGGCAGCAGUUAGGAAUCUUGGACAAUGGGCGCAAGCCUGAUCCAGCCAUGCCGCGUGAGUGAUGAAGGCCUUAGGGUUGUAAAGCUCUUUCAGCGGGGAAGAUAAUGACGGUACCCGCAGAAGAAGCCCCGGCUAACUUCGUGCCAGCAGCCGCGGUAAUACGAAGGGGGCUAGCGUUGCUCGGAAUCACUGGGCGUAAAGCGCACGUAGGCGGCUUUCUAAGCCAGGGGUGAAAUCCUGGAGCUCAACUCCAGAACUGCCUUUGAUACUGGAGAGCUUGAGUCCGGAAGAGGUGAGUGGAACUCCGAGUGUAGAGGUGAAAUUCGUAGAUAUUCGGAAGAACACCAGUGGCGAAGGCGGCUCACUGGUCCGGUACUGACGCUGAGGUGCGAAAGCGUGGGGAGCAAACAGGAUUUAAUACCCUGGUAGUCCACGCCGUAAACGAUGGAUGCUAGCCGUUGGGGGGGGUUUACCCUUCA